UGGGAGUUGUCAAAAGUUGUUUUUUUCCAUCAUUUAUUUGGUCAACAAUUCUCAGGUCACCGAAACACCUGGGAACAUUUUGUGGGCAUUGUGUGGACAUUUUGUUGGGCAUGUAGCCCGAGCCCAACUUACUGUAUACUGUCCCCUGCUUCAUGUUUCUAUCUGCAGGGGUGCCAGUCCCAGGACCUCUGAAUAAGAUCCUGCUGGGCCAGCUGGUCCUAAAGGGCAGAAGGGGGAGGUGGAAACGCCAGGAGCUGCUGAUGCUUCCAUACAGUGUUAGAGGCAAAAUAUGAGUGAGCAGCACAACAUUUCUGGGGGUGCACAUCAGCGACGACCUCUCCUGGACCACCAAC